rnacentral:lncRNA from 1 species
AGUAAGAUAAAUUCCAACAUAACUUACCCUCAAAACAACGAAAAUAGAAGAAAUCACCUUCUUUCUUUAAUCCACAAUUUUCCCCUUACCUUUGCUAGGAGCUCCUGUCUCGACUUUUAAUAUUAAAAAAAGAAAAUAAAUACAAUCAUAAAUACUAAUAUUAAAUUUUCAUAUUAAUAGCUUAACCACAUUGAAAGCAUAAAAAUGUAAAAUAAGCGCAACGAGAUGAGGAGUGCUUCAAUCUCUUACAUUCCUUGAGAUUUUUUCUCAUUAACCAAGUUUUCUCACACUGCUAAACCAAAACCCUAGGUCGUGGGUGAUGAGAAAGGAUAAGAAGAAUGGCUCAAAUAGAGUCUCUUUAAGGUGGGUUCAAAACAACUAAAGUUAAUAGAGAUCUUUUAGUGAAAAGUGGAGGAAAAUAGCAGAGGAAAAAAAAGUUUUCUCUCUUGCAAUGGUGGUGGCUGACGCAAUACAGACAGAAUGGUGGGAUUUUCUUCCGCAUUUUCUCACUUUUUGAUUUUUAAAAGACAAGGAAAAGUCAAUGGGUCAAGCAUAAUAAUAUUUAUGUGGCC